rnacentral:misc_RNA from 1 species
AUUGUGUCUCUAUUUGUGUGUACUGUCCAUGUGUGUACAUACAUAUAACAGAAAAACAAACAAAAAGUGAAUAUUCAAUGGGAAAAUAGUUGGUAGAUUUAAGUGAUAAAGGCAUCAUUUUUAUAAACAAGGGGGCCAAAAAGAAGUUAGGUUGGACUUGUGAAAAUGGUGAACACAAUCUAAAACAAUUUCAUGCAUGUAAUUUUAUUCAUCCAUUUUAAAGGCAUCUGCAUAUGGAUUGGCAUUAAUACAUGUAGUUGCUUACAAAUGCAAGGCCAUUCUAAAUGUUCAAAUUCUCAUCACACAUCAAAAUCAGUAAUGUAUAGAUGGU